CCUAUUAAUGCAGAUAAAAGUUUAGUAGUAUAGAUUAUAUUAAAUAUCAAUAACAGAAAAAAGCUUUAAUGGCGGUCGAGGCACAAGUGCACAGCUGAAUCUAAGUGUGAGUUUUGGCCUCUUAUCAAUAGUAUCUGUACUCAUGAGUAAGCCAGUAGUACGUUGGUAGGGUAUUGAGUAUAAUAAUAUAUCGUGAUGACAAAGGGGUAUAAAAUAGUUUUUUUAUUUUCAGAAGCGACCGCACUGCUGGUGUGUAUUCAAUAGGUGUACGUUAAGUUGCCGGCACAUUCACAGACCAACAUUCGAGGGGUUAUCAUAACAUUGAGUAAAGAUAAAUCUGCAGCGAAUGUUGGCCUGUCAAUAUACUGCAAACUUGACGUACCUUAUAUAUUUUGGGAAAUAUUGGAUCAGUGCUGUUGCGGUCCGAUCCGGCUGUACUGUUGCUGGAUCUCAACAAGACCUUUACGAGAUGACAUUGUAUCGUCUGAGAGUUGCUCAUUCUUUUGGGUUUUGUUCUCCUAAUGUCGAGAUCGCGUUGAAGAUUUAUUUAACUCUAAUGGUUACCAACUGCAGUGGUGAACGCUCCUUUCCAAAAUUAACUAGACUCAAGAAGUAAGAGUCAGUAUGGUUCAAACAAGAUUGAACCACCUCUCUCUAAUGAGUACUGAGCAGCACGAGUCACUGAGGGAAAUUAGCAUGUCAAGGAUACAACUGAGGAGUUUUCUGUUGCCAAGUCUCGUAAGUGCUUCACGUGAGCCACGUUGGUCUGCACUCAGUUCAGCAAAUGGUUCCAAGAUUCUCCGAGGCAGCACUAAUAGUCUACUGGAUAAGCUACUGCCUGCUAUGUUCUUAUUCAAAAAGGAGUAAAAAGUGUACAAAAUAAAGCCAUCUUUUAUCAGGUGAGUCCUCCCUUCCCCUUUUCAAAAAUACGGCUUUAUAUGAAUUUUAUCUCAUUCCUCUACCUCAUUAUGUGGCCAUUAACUGUGAGGCAAAGGGUAUCUCAUAUUGUCCACCACUUGCAUUACAGAGGUGACAGCACAGGACACAGGGAAGGCUUAACCCCUACAACACGAGGACGUGUAUACUGUGUCCUUGCGUGCCCCGUACCACAUCCCAGGAUGCGCAUACUGCGUCCUGGCUCGCUUUAACCAAUAUACAAGUUAUUUUAUCUCUAUAUUUUUGCUUACAUCUCAAAAUUAUCAAUUAAUUUAUGUUUCUUUAUAUGCCCCAUUUAAUUCUGCAUGUUUUCAUAUAUAAUACAUGAUGAUUCUGUUGAGUUUAUGGCUGAAAACUUGUUAUAUCUAAUAGCGACAUUUGAAAUUUGGCGCGCGGCGAUCCCGGAUACGGCGCGGCGUGCUGUUUUGGCCCGGCCGUAGUGAAGGGGUUAAGAGUGAAGAUACAGGCCAACUCUUGCAUUAAUAAGCUGGACAGCACAAGACAGCUGAUAGGUCCAGGCACCCAACAGGAACAAAUAACACCAUGACUCUUGCAUUAAUAAGUUGGACAGCACAAGACAGCUGAUAGGUCCAGGCACUCAACAGGAACAAAUAACACCAUGACUCUUGCAUUAAUAAGUUGGACAGCACAAGACAGCUGAUAGAUAGGUCCAGGCACUCAACAGGAACAAAUAACACCAUGACUCUUGCAUUAAUAAGUUGGACAGCACAAGACAGCUGAUAGGUCCAGGCACCCAACAGGAACAAAUAACACCAUGACUCUUGCAUUAAUAAGUUGGACAGCACAAGACAGCUGAUAGGUCCAGGCACCCAACAGGAACAAAUAACACCAUGACUCUUGCAUUAAUAAGUUGGACAGCACAAGACAGCUGAUAGGUCCAGGCACCCAACAGGAACAAAUAACACCAUGACUCUUGCAUUAAUAAGUUGGACAGCACAAGACAGCUGAUAGGUCCAGGCACCCAACAGGAACAAAUAACACCAUGACUCUUGCAUUAAUAAGUUGGACAGCACAAGACAGCUGAUAGGUCCAGGCACCCAACAGGAACAAAUAACACCAUGACUCUUGCAUUAAUAAGCUGGACAGCACAAGACAGCUGAUAGGUCCAGGCACCCAACAGGAACAAAAAACACCAUGACUCUUGCAUUAAUAAGCUGGACAGCACAAGACAGCUGAUAGGUCCAGGCACCCAACAGGAACAAAAAACACCAUGACUCUUGCAUUAAUAAGCUGGACAGCACAAGACAGCUGAUAGAUAGGUCCAGGCACCCAACAGGAACAAAUAACACCAUGACUCUUGCAUUAAUAAGUUGGACAGCACAAGACAGCUGAUAGAUAGGUCCAGGCACCCAACAGGAACAAAUAACACCAUGACUCUUGCAUUAAUAAGUUGGACAGCACAAGACAGCUGAUAGGUCCAGGCACUCAACAGGAACAAAAAACACCAUGACUCUUGCAUUAAUAAGCUGGACAGCACAAGACAGCUGAUAGAUAGGUCCAGGCACCCAACAGGAACAAAUAACACCAUGACUCUUGCAUUAAUAAGUUGGACAGCACAAGACAGCUGAUAGGUCCAGGCACCCAACAGGAACAAAAAACACCACAACUCCUGCAUUAGUUUUUUAAUCAGACUCUCUAAAAAGAUGGUAGUGAAAACACCAGUUAACUCUCACAUUAUUAAGUUGGACAGCACAGGACAUAGGGAAAGCAUGAGAGAGUGAAGGUAUACCGGAUAACUCUUGCAACAUUAAGUGGGACAG